GUUUCUGCUCAAGAAGAAAAACCUUUGGUCAAAGACGAAGGUUUGGCAGUAAAGUCAAGCCAGAGAACUAAAGCAUCUAAAUCUGAGGAUGGAGUAAAUUCAUCACAAAAGCAGGAGAGUUCACAGGAGCAAAUUGAGACACAAUCAAAAGACAUCAGUGCAGAAAUGGAGACAGAGGAAAUGGUUUAUAAUGAUUCUGUUCAACAUAAAUCUGGUCUAAGAAGAUCUUUCAGACAAACUGCCAGACAAGCCAAUCAAGACAAAACAAAUGAAAAUAAAGCAGCUACAGCAGGAAAACUAACCGAGUCCAACUCUUUGGUUGGAAGAAAAGAAGAUAGAACUCCAACCAGGAGGAGAAAAACUCCUGCCAGAGAUCCUCAGCAACAAAACAAAGAGAAAACUAAAAACAUCCCGUUGAUGAUUUGCAACUCCAGAGAGACUCAAGAGGAGAAAAAAGAAGCUGCAACACCCAGAAGAAGAGGUCGGCCCAAGAAGAAAGUUCUAGUGAGGACACCAACCACAGAGCUGAAGUUAAAUCCUGAUGGACAGACUCUGGAAAGAUAAGCGCUUCAGACACUCACACAAAGCGCUGAACAGCCUUUUUUUCCUGACCGACGACCUUUUUUGGAGAAUUUUAAUCUGUUCUGAGUUUUAGGGAUAACUAGAGCAGCAGAUACAGUUUAUGCUUUUUGAAAAUCUUUUACACUGUAUGCUGUUUUUAAGUGUUGCACAAUUUUAAAAAAAAUUAACUUUUGUAUUUACAUUUUUUUAAGAUUAGCACCUUGUUGCAGAUGGAUCAAUGUUAUCUAUAUUCACAGAGUUAGUCUUACCUUUUGGAAAGUAAAAGUUAUAUAUUUUAAUCAUAUUUUUAAUCAAGGAUGUAUAAAUACAUGUUUACUCGGGGUGAACUUUUUUUUAUCAGGAUGCUCUAGUGUGCUAAAUCUUUACCAUAUGUGGGAUUUUUACUCAUGUCAAAUGUCUUUUCCCUGUUUUUUUUUAUUAUUAAAAGACGUGAUAGA